UGGGGAAUAUUGCACAAUGGGCGCAAGCCUGAUGCAGCCAUGCCGCGUGAAUGAUGAAGGCCUUAGGGUUGUAAAAUUCUUUCGCUAGGGAUGAUAAUGACAGUACCUAGUAAAGAAGCCCCGGCUAACUUCGUGCCAGCAGCCGCGGUAAUACGAAGGGGGCUAGCGUUGUUCGGAAUUACUGGGCGUAAAGCGCACGUAGGCGGACUUUUAAGUCAGAUGUGAAGUCCCGAGGCUCAACCUCGGAACUGCAUUUGAAACUGGGAGUCUAGAGAUCAGGAGAGGUUAGCGGAAUACCGAGUGUAGAGGUGAAAUUCGUAGAUAUUCGGUGGAACACCAGUGGCGAAGGCGGCUCACUGGCCCGGUACUGACGCUGAGGUGCGAAAGCGUGGGGAGCAAACAGGAUUAGAUACCCGCGUAGUCC
rnacentral:rRNA from 1 species